rnacentral:rRNA from 1 species
UACGUAGGGUGCGAGCGUUGUCCGGAAUUACUGGGCGUAAAGCGCUCGUAGGUGGUUUGUCGCGUUGUUCGUGAAAACCGGGGGCUUAACCCUCGGCGUGCGGGCGAUACGGGCAGACUGGAGUACUGCAGGGGAGACUGGAAUUCCUGGUGUAGCGGUGGAAUGCGCAGAUAUCAGGAGGAACACCGGUGGCGAAGGCGGGUCUCUGGGCCGAUACUGACGCUGAGAAGCGAAAGCGUGGGGAGCGAACAGG